AGCGAACGCUGGCGGCAGGCUUAACACAUGCAAGUCGAACGCCCCGCUAGGGGAGUGGCAGACGGGUGAGUAACACGUGGGAACGUACCCUUUGGUUCGGAAUAACUUGGGGAAACUCAAGCUAAUACCGGAUAAGCCCUUAUGGGGAAAGGUUUACUGCCGAAGGAUCGGCCCGCGUCUGAUUAGCUAGUUGGUGAGGUAAUGGCUCACCAAGGCGACGAUCAGUAGCUGGUCUGAGAGGAUGAUCAGCCACACUGGGACUGAGACACGGCCCAGACUCCUACGGGAGGCAGCAGUGGGGAAUAUUGGACAAUGGGGGCAACCCUGAUCCAGCCAUGCCGCGUGAGUGAUGAAGGCCUUAGGGUUGUAAAGCUCUUUUACCCGGGACGAUAAUGACUGUACCGGGAGAAUAAGCCCCGGCUAACUUCGUGCCAGCAGCCGCAGUAAGAC
rnacentral:rRNA from 1 species